rnacentral:rRNA from 1 species
GACGAACGCUUUCUUCUUUCUUAACACAUGCAAGUCGAACGGAAAGGCCCUGCUUUUGUGGGGUGCUCGAGUGGCGAACGGGUGAGUAACACGUGAGUAACCUGCCCUUGACUUUGGGAUAACUUCAGGAAACUGGGGCUAAUACCGGAUAGGAGCUCCUGCUGCAUGGUGGGGGUUGGAAAGUUUCGGCGGUUGGGGAUGGACUCGCGGCUUAUCAGCUUGUUGGUGGGGUAGUGGCUUACCAAGGCUUUGACGGGUAGCCGGCCUGAGAGGGUGACCGGCCACAUUGGGACUGAGAUACGGCCCAGACUCCUACGGGAGGCAGCAGUGGGGAAUAUUGCACAAUGGGCGGAAGCCUGAUGCAGCAACGCCGCGUGCGGGAUGAAGGCAUUCGGGUUGUAAACCGCUUUCGCCUGUGACGAAGCGUGAGUGACGGUAAUGGGUAAAGAAGCACCGGCUAACUACGGG